rnacentral:rRNA from 1 species
UACGGAGGGUGCAAGCGUUGCUCGGAAUUAUUGGGCGUAAAGGGUAGGUAGGUGGUCUCAUUUGUCUGGGGUGAAAGCCUUGAGCUUAACUCAAGAAGUGCCCCAGAGACGGUGAGACUAGAGUCCUGGAGAGGGUCGUGGAAUUCCCGGUGUAGCGGUGAAAUGCGUAGAGAUCGGGAGGAACACCAGAGGCGAAGGCGGCGACCUGGACAGGUACUGACACUCAACUACGAAAGCGUGGGGAGUAAACAGG